CACGAAGCAAUAAUGAGCUAAUUUAAUUAAUUUAUUAGAAUAAGGGUAUGUAGCAUAAUACAUUAACGAUUUUAAAUUAGAAGUGAUAUUCCUUACACAUUUUGCGAUAUCUUGAUGUUUUCGAUAAGUAUUUAGUACAAUUACAACUAAAAAGCGCUGAGGUUUUUUAGAAGUAUAAACUACUAUAAGUAAUAUUUGUUUUUUAUAAUAAUUAACUAUCAAAGAAGUAUAAUAUUUAUAUAUAAAAUUUAUAUUUUCUAGAAGACAAUUAAAAUUAAUCUUUUAAAUUUAUAAUGUUAUUAUAAGUAAUAAAUAGAUACAAAUAAUGAACUCGGCAAUACACUUUUCAACUGUUUAUCAAAAACAUAGUUAUUAGAAAUAUAUUGAUAAUUUUUUCUGCUCAAUGAUUAUUUAAAUAGCCGCAGUACCCUGACUGUGCAAAGGUAGCAUAAUUAGUUGGCUUAUAAUUGAAGUCUUGUAUGAAUGAAAUCAUGAAAGAGUGACUGUAUCAUUAGUAUAAUAUAAAAUUAAUAAGAAGGUGCAAAUGCCUUCUUAUAAAUAAUAGACGAGAAGACCCUAGAAAUUUUCAAACUAUGUCACUAUAGGUUUUUGUUGGGGCAACAAUGUAACAGGUAACUUACAUUAUUACAUGAAAUAAAAUAGAUUGAUUAAAUUACUCUAGGGAUAACAGCGUAAUAUUUAAAUGUUUGCGACCUCGAUGUUGGAUUAGGAAACAAAUGCU
rnacentral:rRNA from 1 species